rnacentral:rRNA from 1 species
UGCAGAGUAGUUAGCCUAACCGCAAGGGGGGCGAUUACCACGGCAGGGUUCAUGACUGGGGUGAAGUCGUAACAAGGUAGCCGUAUCGGAAGGUGCGGCUGGAUCACCUCCUUUA